GGGAAGGGUCCUCCUCUCCUGACGUGCGCCUCCCGCUCACAGCUCGGCGCUGCUGCCAUCCCAGGCCCUGGACAGCGCGACUUCGACGCUCGUCCGUCAGCACUGAAACCCAAGCGCGGCACCCGCGCGGCGCCCCUCACCCUUCCUGAUGUCUGCUCCAGGCAUGCCCUCCGCAGCUCCCGUGGCUACGACAUCCCCAUGGACCAGGCUUCUCAGCAAACUGUUUCUGAAAACAACACCUUAUUUGCACAGGCAAGUAGCAAAUAAUGAAAAUUAAAUUAACAAGAACUAUA